rnacentral:rRNA from 1 species
AGAGUUUGAUUAUGGCUCAGGAUGAACGCUAGCUACAGGCUUAACACAUGCAAGUCGAGGGGUAGCAGGGUAGCAAUACCGCUGACGACCGGCGCACGGGUGAGUAACACGUAUCCAACUUCCCAUAACUCAGGGAUAGCCUUUCGAAAGAAAGAUUAAUACCUGAUAGUACUUUUUCAAGGCAUCUUGAAAAAAGUUAAAGAUUUAUUGGUUAUGGAUGGGGAUGCGUUCCAUUAGAUAGUUGGUGAGGUAACGGCUCACCAAGUCUUCGAUGGAUAGGGGUUCUGAGAGGAAGGUCCCCCACAUUGGUACUGAGACACGGACCAAACUCCUACGGGAGGCAGCAGUGAGGAAUAUUGGUCAAUGGGCGAGAGCCUGAACCAGCCAAGUAGCGUGAAAAGGAUGAAGGUCCUAUGGAUUGUAAACUUCUUUUAUAGUAGAAUAAAGUGAGCCACGUGUGGUUUUUUGUAUGUAUACUAUGAAUAAGGAUCGGCUAACUCCGUGCCAGCCGCCGC